rnacentral:rRNA from 1 species
GACGAACGCUGGCGGCGUGCCUAAUACAUACAAGUCGAGCGGACAGAAGGGCGCUUGCUCCCGGAAGUUAGCGGCGGACGGGUGAGUAACACGUGGGCAACCUACCCUGUAGAUCGGGAUAACAUCGAGAAAUCGGUGCUAAUACCGGAUAAUCAUUUGAAGUGCAUGCUUCGAAUGUAAAAGAUGGCUCCGGCUAUCACUACGGGAUGGGCCCGCGGCGCAUUAGCUAGUUGGUAAGGUAAUGGCUUACCAAGGCAACGAUGCGUAGCCGACCUGAGAGGGUGAUCGGCCAAACUGGGACUGAGACACGGCCCAGACUCCUACGGAAGGCAGCAGUAGGGAGCCGUCCGGAAUGGGCGAAAGUCUGACGGAGCAACGCCGCGUGAGUGAUGAAGGUUUUCGGAUCGUAAAGCUCUGUUGUUAGGGAAGAACAAGUGCCGUUUGAAUAAGGCGGCACCUUGACGGUACCUAACCAGAAAGCCACGGCUAACUACGUGCCAGCCGCCGCAGUAAUAC